rnacentral:rRNA from 1 species
UACGUAGGGUGCAAGCGUUGUCCGGAAUUAUUGGGCGUAAAGAGCUCGUAGGCGGUUUGUCGCGUCUGCUGUGAAAAUCCAGGGCUUAACCCUGGACCUGCAGUGGGUACGGGCAGACUGGAGUGCGGUAGGGGAGAUCGGAAUUCCUGGUGUAGCGGUGAAAUGCGCAGAUAUCAGGAGGAACACCGGUGGCGAAGGCGGCUUCUGGACAGAUACCGACGCUGAGGCACGAAAGCUAGGGGAGCAAACAGG